CGGGGUGCACCAGGCGCGAAAACUCUACAAUGCAGGCAACUGCGAUAGGGGGACAUCGAGUGGCAUCCACCUUGGGUGCCUGUCCCACCGUCUAAAAAACGGUGGUUAGCAAGGGCCGGGCAAGACCGGUGCCAGCCGCCGCGGUAAUACCGGCGGCUCGAGUGGUGGCCGAUAUUAUUGAGUCUAAAGGGUCCGUAGCCGGCUUUGCAAGUCCCCUGGGAAAUCCAGCGGCUUAACCGUUGGGCUUUCAUGGGAUACUACAUUGCUUGGGACUGGGAUAGGUAGGAGGUACUCGGGGGGUAGGGGUGAAAUCCUGUAAUCCCCCGGGGACCACCGGUGGCGAAGGCGUCCUACCAGAACAGGUCCGACGGUGAGGGGCGAAAGCUAGGGGCACGAACCGGAUUAGAUACCCGGGUAGUCCUAGCCGUAAACGAUGCCCGCUAGGUGUUACGGCGGUCGUGAAUCGCCGUGGUGCCGUAGGGAAGCCGCGAAGCGGGCCACUUGGGAAGUACGGCCGCAAGGCUGAAACUUAAAGGAAUUGGCGGGGG
rnacentral:rRNA from 1 species